AAGUUGCAGGGUAUAGACCCGAAACCCGGUGAUCUAGCCAUGGGCAGGUUGAAGGUUGGGUAACACUAACUGGAGGACCGAACCGACUAAUGUUGAAAAAUUAGCGGAUGACCUGUGGCUGGGGGUGAAAGGCCAAUCAAACCGGGAGAUAGCUGGUUCUCCCCGAAAGCUAUUUAGGUAGCGCCUCGUGAAUUCAUCUCCGGGGGUAGAGCACUGUUUCGGCUAGGGGGCCAUCCCGGCUUACCAACCCGAUGCAAACUGCGAAUACCGGAGAAUGUUAUCACGGGAGACACACGGCGGGUGCUAACGUCCGUCGUGAAGAGGGAAACAACCCAGACCGCCAGCUAAGGUCCCAAAGUCAUGGUUAAGUGGGAAACGAUGUGGGAAGGCCCAGACAGCCAGGAUGUUGGCUUAGAAGCAGCCAUCAUUUAAAGAAAGCGUAAUAGCUCACUGGUCGAGUCGGCCUGCGCGGAAGAUGUAACGGGGCUAAACCAUG
rnacentral:rRNA from 3 species